CUGAGGGCUUCGCCGCGCUGCACGCGGACGACUCUGGCCUGGAGAGGGGGUGUGGCGCGAGCUGGCCUUGGCCUCUCCUUGCGUGGGAUCGGGCCCCUCGCCCCCCGCCGCCCGUUUCUUCCUGCGCCUGGGCCCCGCGGGGUCUCCGGAGCACCCCGUCAUCGCUCCCUCUCCGAUCGCCCCCCGCCCCAGUCCCCCGGCGCAGCGCCCAGGAGCGCAGGAAGCCGGCGUAUGCCAGGCUCCACACGUGGCUGCUCUGGGGUGUCAUUUUUCAUUUCACGGGAGGACAUUUCUUCUGGUGAGCCAGCAGGUCUGUUUUGUUGUGACCUUUAAUUAACACCCCGCGAGACGCCUCUGGAAGGACUGGCCGGGCGCAGGGAUCACGUGGGGUGUAACGGCAUCUCCGCGCCCGCGGGGAGACCCAGCCCGGGGGUGGGCGAGGGCGCGAAGGACGUUCAGGGCUUUCUGGUCGCUGACUUCCUUCUGAGCUGUGGACGACGCAGGAGGGGGCAAGAAGACAAAGGUUCGGGGUUCUGGAAGCCUGGGGCCACGCCCCCACUCUGCCUUCCUCGGGGACAAUUUCUUCUGUGCCUCCCGUGCUCUGCCCCACUCCUCCCCGCUCCAGCUCCUGCGCGGGAAUAUUUCACAGCCACCAAAGCGAGCCACCCGUGAGGGAGGCAGCCUCCUCGCUCCCACAGGAAG
rnacentral:lncRNA from 1 species